UUUAGUCCCGAUUUCUUAACAUUCUCCAAAACGGCGUCAUUUCUGGCGUUGAUAAAAAAGAAAGAGCCCCUCCCCUACCUAACCCAACGAAGUCACCAUGCCUCCCAGCCCUCUCUCAACCCUAACUUCCCUUUCCUUCAACGAGCAGAACUGCAGAAGCCAGAAGGAACUCCACCAUCCCUAGCCAAAUCGACGCCGGCAAUGACCACCAGCGGUUGCCACCGUCGCGGUUCGAAGCUUCAAUCGGCGUAGUCAUCGUUUGUUUGUCUGAACUUCGAAGAUUUUGUCGUCGGAAGCACGAUUUGAAGAUUAUGUCGUCGUCGUCGUCGGCUGGUUGGUUCCAACUUCGAAGCUUCUGUCGUCGGCCACCUCUGUCCUACCAAGCAUCACUUCUGCCGCCGUAGACUCUGGACCUUCUUUCUUCUCUCUGACGCAAGGUCUUUACUCGUCGCAGCC